CAUCUUCAGCUGCAGUCUCACCUACACACAUUGCCAGAUUGUUACCUGCUCCUCUCGGCACAGUCCCUUUUUGCCUCUGCCAAUACAUGUUCCUCCAUAUUCCUUGCCAGGCCUUUUUCCUGCAGUGUUGCAGCAUCUCUGCAUCCUGAAGGGGUGGGGGCUUGCGUGAGCUGGAAGUUGCUUGUCACUGACGUCCAUUCAAAGUAUCACAAUGCAGUCAAAGUAUCAGGACUUUUCCUCUAGAAGGAAAGGCGGCACGUACCUCAUAUACAAAUAAAAGAAACCUCUAACAUUAAAGAAUUCCACAGGAGUGAGUGCCUCAUCAGCCAGGGGACAGGAGGAGCAGACUUAAGAGGGCAGGAACUGAAAGCCCAAAUUGAUGCAGCUUGUCUUCCGAGGGUGGGUUGAAAUCAGGUGAGGACAGGAGCCUGCCGUCAGACAUAAGGAAGUCAUCUGAGCGGCUAGAACUCCAGAGGCCCAUGAGACCCACUGUCCGAUUGUAAAAGAAAGAAAAUCCCUUACCAACUCCCUGUGUGGCCCUUUUGGCUGGCUUGCAGCCAUCGAGACUGACCCAACUGUAGCCAUUGCAACGAUCCAAAGGCCUCUUGCUGAGAUAAAGGGGGCAGAGAGAAGACUCAAUGCAACACCACUGGAACGGCAGGAGAUCUUCAUCUGAAGCGAGAGAGUAGCGCUCGUUGUAACCCGCCAGCAGAGGUCCCUCCGGAUCGUAUACACAUCGCUUUCCUGAUUCCUUGUUGGACAAAACUGACUUGAAGACGUGGCCCCUUGCACUACCCCAUCUCUGACCCCUCAAAGUCUUCAACUUUGCUCCAUAGUCAGCUGUAUCCUGCACAAAGGACAAGUCUUCCAGAGCCUGAGUUCGGACACAAGGACAUGAGGGCAGCCCUUCAGUCCAUUCUGCAGGAUCAGGCUCCUUCAUUGCCCAUGCCUGGCACAUCAGUCCUGGGUCUGCAUAAGACUGGUCGAUUCCAUUUAAAUCAUACACAAAUUGGCCGAACUUUCCCAAAGGCCCUUUCACUUGCUGUGGUCUGUAUCUCCCCCCUUGGCCAAAAAGGUUUUCUGGGGGCACAGUGGUCUCUAUGUGGAUGUUUUUUCCAUCUGUAUAGCCGAUGAGGGCUUCAAGAUGUUCUCUCUGUCCGGGACCCCAAUUCAUCUCCCCAUAUUGUAGGAGGGCAAAGGAGCGCACUCCAUCCGUGGUCAGAAUGCAUUGGAAAGUGUUAGUCUGAAAAUAAUACACAAUAUGUUAGUUAGUAAAUGUACUUUAUUUAUGAAUGACUUUUGUUUGUACAUCAACAUUGUCGAAUGUAUAGUUUGUAGGCAUGAAACAAAAUAAGUUUUAGUGCUUUUGUCAAAAUCUGCCUCAAGGAGGCGCCUAUGUUCAACCAAUUAUUACAGUACUGUCAAUGACGUUUGUAGCUUCAGUGGCGCCAUGUGAGACCCUCUUUGGUGCCAUAAUAAAAUAGAAAACAGUUUAUCAUUAAUUACGUUUAUUUUUUUUGUUUAAUAAACGCAUGCGCACCAGAGUGUGUGUGUGUGUGUGUGUGUGUGUCUGUGUAA